AUUGAACGCUGGCGGAAUGCUUUACACAUGCAAGUCGAACGGCAGCACGGGGGCAACCCUGGUGGCGAGUGGCGAACGGGUGAGUAAUAUAUCGGAACGUGCCCAGUCGUGGGGGAUAACGUAGCGAAAGUUACGCUAAUACCGCAUACGAUCUACGGAUGAAAGCGGGGGAUCGCAAGACCUCGCGCGAUUGGAGCGGCCGAUAUCAGAUUAGGUAGUUGGUGGGUUAAAGGCGCACCAAGCCAACGAUCUGUAGCUGGGUUGAGAGGACGACCAGCCACACUGGGACUUAGAGACGGCCCAGACUCCAACGGGAGACAGCAGUGGGGAAUUUUGGGCAAUGGGCGCAGGCCUAAUCCUGCCAUUCCGCGUGCAGGACGAGGGCCUUCGGGUUGUAAACUGCUUUUGUACGGAACGAAAAAGCCUUGGCUAAUACCCAGGGUCCAUGACGGUACCGUAAGAAUAAGCACCGGCUAACUACGUGCCAGCCGCCGCGGUAA
rnacentral:rRNA from 1 species